AUGUAAGUCGUAUUUGCAUUGAUAGGCAGAUGAAUACGUAUAUGAUAAUGUUUUUUUAUAAACCCUGAGUUACUCAUUUCUGAUACAGAUUGAGAUAUAUACAGAUAUAUAUAUAUAUAUAUAUUAUAUAUAAUAUGUAUAUAUAUAUACAGAGAGAGAGAGAGAGAGAGAGAGAGAGAGAGAGAGAGAGAAAGAAAGGGUAAACGAAUCGAGAAUUUGAAUAAAACAAAGAACGAUAUCGAGAUUAAAUUGAAAAGAAACUUUGUUAGCUCUUGACAAAAAGGCAUUCGAUAAGGAAGCAUUAGCCCUCCAAAGUACAAUUAUAUCAAAAACCCAUUCAAAUUAAAGAAGAUUACAUAUGUAUCUGAUUAUGAUACCUUAUAUUUCUUAUUAUUCAUAUAAAAUAAAAGAAAAAGAAAAAAAAACAGUUAUGAAGAAUAAGAAAGAAAUCUCAUCUUUAUUUCCCAAUAUCUUCAAUUAUGAUAGAUUUCUAAAGACAAUAAGAAUAAUAAUAACAAUAAUAAGAACAACAAUAACAUCAAUAAUAUGAAAAAGAAGAAGAAGAAUAAAGUAUCUUGGUAUAUUCAAUUUUGCUUUCUUGUUCUUAUGUGGUAUAUGUAUCUAGUACAAUGUAAAUUUUAAUGUGGGAUUUCAAUUAAUCGUGUCAUUUAAUUCGUAUUAUGAUUAAUAUGCAUUAUUCAUACACAUAUCAAUGUAUGUGUAUUUAAAUGAAUAUAGAGUUUAUACCUCGUUGACAAAUUAAAUUUACAAUAUUGAAAUAAGGGUGUCACGAUCAGGUACACGCAUCACGUUCGAUCGUCGACGAUCUUUCUAUAUAUAAAAUAUAUCGAUACCAAACGAUAUUACAUUUGUUAAAAGGCAUAUACGUAUUACGUACAUACGCGUACACGUGCAUACAGAAAAAUUAAGAAAAAAAUAGCAAAAUAGAGCGAGGAAGAGAGAGAAAGAGAGAGAUGAAAGUUCAUUGUUUACGAGGAAGGACGUCUGUCCUAACAAACGGAGUUUUCGAUGAGGUCUCGUAUUUUUCUAUUCCUGUUGCUUUCUUUUAUUUUUUGAUUUUGAUUAUUUAACUAAUUAAAUUAUUAAAAUUUUAGUAUAUAUAUAUAUAUAUAUAUAUAUAUAUAUAUAUAUAUAUAAUAUUAUCACACUGAAAGAAAAAGAGAAUGUUUAUACCAUUUACUAGCUGACGUAUACAAAGCAAAUCUUAUUACAAUGUUUAUAUGUUUCUAUAUAAGCUGAAAUAUCUAAAUACAACUUAUGUUAUUUACUUUCUGUCGAAUAUCGUAUGAGAUCAGUCUUUCGGCAACCACCGAGUUGGAAACUUGAAAGAUCCCGUUUAAACAUACGUUUGUAAAUAGAUAGAUAUGUAUAUAUGUACAUAUGUACAUAACUAGUCACAAUAUACACACCCACACACUCAUACACAAAGUAUAUAGUAGUCUUUCUCUUGGGUAUUGCUUGAGAUUUUAUUAUAUUGUAUAGACAGUAACGAGCAACCUUUGUUCUGCAAUGAGCCAAAAUUAAAUAUCUGAUAUUGUUAUUGAUAGAAUUCAUUAUGAACUAAAAAUGCUUAUAUUGAUUAAAAAAGGAAUUAAUGCUUGAUAGAAAAAGAAAAAAUUACAUAUUAUUGAAGGGUAUUUGUUAUUUUCGGCAUCAAUUUACAAUGAAAUGUUUUCUAUAAUUCCAUUGAUUUUUUAUUAGCAAUACUUUUAAUGUGUACGCAUAAAUGUAUGUAUAUAUAUUUUUGUAAUGGAACGAAAUCUAUUAGUCGUUUAUUUUUAAUUAGAUAUAUGAUUCUACUUCUCGUUAAUAAACUUUACAUUAUUAUAUUGGAAGAUACAUUGGAAGAUAUUGAAAUAAACUCUAAUACAAUCUUUUAUUCGUUUGUCGUUAAAGUUACGACUUUUGAUAAAUGAUUUCGAUACUUCGGUUAAUAGUUAAAAUGCGUUUCAACUGGCCGUAGAUAACAAAGCUCUUCACAAAUGUAUCAACGUAAGAUGUAAUACCAGUGAUUAAGAAAUUCACUAAUUAGAGUCGACUAUUGUCAUUUUUCGAUGCAAAAUGUAAGUUGUAAUUGCAUUGAUACGUACAUGAAUACGUAUAUGAUAAUUUUUUUUUAUAAACCCUGAGUUACUCAUUUCUGAUACAGAUUCAGAUAUAUACAGAUGUAUAUAUAUAUUAUAUAUUAUAUAUUAUAUAUAUAUAAAUAUAUAUACAGAGAGAGAAAGAGAGAGAGAGAGAAAGAAAAAGGGUAAAGGAAUCGAGAAUUUGAAUAAAACAAAGAACGAUAUCGAGAUUAAAUUGAAAAGAAACUUUGUUAGCUCUUGACAAAAAGGAAUUCGAUAAGGAAGCAUUAGCCGUCCAAAGUACAAUUAUAUCAAAAACCCAUUCAAACUAAAGAAGAUUACAUAUGUAUCUGAUUAUGAUACCUUAUAUUUCUUAUUAUUCAUAUAAAAGAAAAGAAAAAGAAAAAAAAACAGUUAAGAAAAGUAAGAAAGAAAUCUCAUCUUUAUUUCCCAAUAUCUUCAAUUAUGAUUCAUUUCUAAAGACAAUAAGAAUAAUAAUAACAAUAAUAAGAACAACAAUAACAACAAUAAUAUGAAAAAGAAGAAGAAGAAUAAAGUAUCUUGGUAUAUUCAAUUUUGCUUUCUUGUUCUUAUGUAGUAUAUGUAUCUAGUACAAUGUAAAUUUUAAUGUGGGAUUUCAUUUAAACGUGUCAUUUAAUGCGUAUUAUGAUUAAUAUGUAUUAUUCAUACACAUAUGAAUGUAUGUAUAUUUAAAUGAAUAUAGAAUUCAUACCUCGUUGACAAAUUAAAUUUACAAUAUUGAAAUAAGGGUGUCACGAUCAGGUACACGCAUCACGUUCGAUCGUCGACGAUCUUUCUAUAUAUAAAAUAUAUCGAUACCAAACGAUAUUACAUUUGUUAUAAGGCAUAUACGUAUUACGUACAUACGCGUACACGUGCAUACAGAAAAAUUAAGAAAAAAAUAGCAAAAUAGAGCGAGGAAGAGAGAGAGAGAGAGAGAGAUGAAAGUUCAUUGUUUACGAGGAAGGACGUCUGUCCUAACAAACGGAGUUUUCGAUGAGGUCUCGUAUUUUUCUAUUCCUGUUGCUUUCUUUUAUUUUUUGAUUUUGAUUAAUUAACUAAUUAAAUUAUAAAAAUUUUAAUAUAUAUAUAUAUAUAAUAUUAUUACACUGAAAGAAAAAGAUAAUGUUUAUACCAUUUACUAGCUGACGUAUACAAAGCAAAUCAUAUUACAUUGUUUAUUUGUUUCUAUAUAAGCUGAAAUAUCUAAAUACACUUUACGUUAUUUACUUUCUGUCGAAUAUCGUAUGAGAUCAGUCUUUCGGCAACCACCGAGCUGGAAAAUUGGAAAUAAAUUCUAAUACAAUCUUUUAUUCGUUUGUCGUUAACGUUACGACUUUUGAUAAAAGAUUUCACUACUUCGGUUAAUAGUUAAAAUGCCUUUCAACUGGCCGUAGAUAACAAAGCUCUUCACAAAUGUAUCAACGUAAGAUGUAAUACCACUGAUUAAGAAAUUCACUAAUUAGAGUCGACUAUUGUCAUUUUUCGAUGCAAAAUGUAAGUUGUAAUUGCAUUGAUACGUACAUGAAUACGUAUAUGAUAAUGUUUUUUUAUAAACCCUGAGUUACUCAUUUCUGAUACAGAUUCAGAUAUAUACAGAUAUAUAUAUAUGUAUUAUAUAUUAUAUAUAAUAGGUAUAUAUAUAUACAGAGAGAGAGAGAGAGAGAGAGAGAGAGAGAGAGAGAGAGAGAGAGAGAGAGAGAGAGAGAGAGAGAGAGUGAGAGAGAGAGAGAUAGAGAGAGAGAGAAAGAAAGGGUAAACGAAUCGAGAAUUUGAAUGAAACAAAGAACGAUAUCGAGAUUAAAUUGAAAAGAAACUUUGUUAGCUCUUGACAAAAAGGCAUUCGAUAAGGAAGCAUUAGCCGUCCAAAGUACAAUUAUAUCAAAGUCCUAUUCAAAUGAAAGACGAUUACAUACUUAUCCUAUUAUGAUACCUUAUAUUCUUAUUAUUCAUAUAAAAGAAAAGAAGAAGAAAAAAAACAGUUAAGAAGAUUAAGAAAGAAAUUUCAUGUUUAUUUCCCAAUAUCUUCAAUUAUGGUUGAUUUCUAAAGACAAUAAGAAUAAUAAUAACAAUAAUAAGAACAACAAAAAUAUGAAGAAGAAGAAGAAGAAGGAGAAUAAAGUAUCUUGGUAUAUUCAA